UGAAAGCGGGGGACCGUAAGGCCUCGCGCUAUUGGAGCGGCCGAUGUCUGAUUAGCUAGUUGGCGGGGUAAAAGCCCACCAAGGCGACGAUCAGUAGCUGGUCUGAGAGGACGAUCAGCCACACUGGGACUGAGACACGGCCCAGACUCCUACGGGAGGCAGCAGUGGGGAAUUUUGGACAAUGGGGGCAACCCUGAUCCAGCAAUGCCGCGUGUGCGAAGAAGGCCUUCGGGUUGUAAAGCACUUUUGUCAGGGAAGAAAUCUUUCGGGCUAAUACCCCUGGAAGGAUGACGGUACCUGAAGAAUAAGCACCGGCUAACUACGUGCCAGCGGCCGCGGUAAUACGUAGGGUGCAAGCGUUAAUCGGAAUUACUGGGCGUAAAGCGUGCGCAGGCGGUUUGCUAAGACAGUUGUGAAAUCCCCGGGCUUAACCUGGGAACUGCAAUUGUGACUGGUAGGCUAGAGUACGGCAGAGGGGGGUGGAAUUCCUGGUGUAGCAGUGAAAUGCGUAGAG
rnacentral:rRNA from 1 species